GUGGAGGGCUUUUAUUUUUUCCCAAAAGAAAGCAAGUAAUGUUAGAGCAAUAAUUCUAGUAUCCGAAUUAGUCUUAUCCCUUGGCUCGCUCUAACGUUAUUACUCCCUAAUACUCCCUUUAACCGCAUCCCCCUGGUGCGGUUAUUUUU
rnacentral:sRNA from 1 species